AGCAAACUUUAAUUUUUGGGUGAACUAUUCUUUUAAAUAUCUCAUCAAAUAUGCUCUACUGUCUUUCAUUGCUCUUACACUUCUCCCUGUUUUGGUGCUGUGGAAAAAUUCCGGAUCUCUCUGGACAAAUGUUGCAGUAGUGAUACGCAGUUUAAUGUGUGUCAUGGGGGAAAGGCUGCUCCCCUCUUGUGCAGCUUGAUUGGUACAGUCCAAGCCUCAGUCAAUGGUGUUUUAAAACCUCGAUGUUGCUAGAAUGUGCCUUUUAGACUGAGGGAGGGGGUUUGUGCUCACAGAGCUGUGGUUUAGUACAGCAGUACAGCAUCAUCACCAUCUGUGUGCAGCAUCCCAGACAGGUGCGAAGAGUACAGACUAAAGCUCUAAGAUAGACAUAACGACUUAAGUAAGCUAAAUUAGAUUCAAAACUGAGACCAUGACCCAGGGAAAGGUUUCAGUAACAAGCAAGUCAAACAAUGACUCGGAUGUCCAGCCGAUGGCUUCAGUUCCUCCAAGUUAUGAGGAAGCAACUGCUGGUGGAAGCCCUUGUUAUAGUGGAGCCUAUCCUGGAGAUGGUGAGAUGCUCACAGAAUUCAGCUGGGAUGACCAAAACAUCAGGAGGAUAUUCAUCCGCAAGGUGUACACCAUCCUUAUGAUCCAGCUAUCUAUCACAAUUGCCUUUGUGGCUCUUUUCGUUUUCUGUGAACCCGUGAAAUAUUACAUACAGACCAACCCUGGCUGGUACUGGGCAUCAUAUGUAGUGUUUUUUGUCACAUAUCUGACUCUAUCCUGCUGCCGUGGACCCCGGAGGCAAUUCCCAUGGAAUCUGAUUCUGCUCAUUAUCUUUACUCUGUCUCUUUCUUACAUGACAGGAAUGUUGUCCAGCUACUACAAUACUAAAUCUGUCAUCAUAUGCCUGGGUAUUACUGCCUUGGUGUGUCUUGCUAUUACUAUCUUUAGCUUCCAAACCAAGAUUGAUAUUACUUCAUGCCAAGGUGUGCUGCUAGUCUUCUGCACAGUAUUGUUUAUUUGUGGACUUGUCCUGGCAUUCACCCUGCCCUUUGGCUAUGUUCCAUGGUUGCACGCUGUGUACGCUGUAUUGGGAGCAAUACUGUUUUGCUUGUUCCUGGCAUUUGACACACAGAUGCUGAUGGGGAAAAAGCAAUACACCAUAAGUCCUGAGGAAUACAUCUUUGCCACUCUCAGCAUAUACCUGGACAUUGUGUACAUCUUCUCUUUUAUUCUCCAGUUGUUUGGAACUCCUGAACGGGAGUGAAUAUGCUGUUAACCUGAAGCUCUAACGGCUCUCCUGAGUGUCUUUUGUUUCUCUGAUCUGAGUGAUCCUGUCUUUCCAGCAUGAUUUGGAUCUUCAGGGCACAUUGUUGUGUUUAAGCCCCUCACCUCAGCUUUACGAUGUGCCAUGCAUUUAUCCUGUAGCAUGAAGGAGGUCUUGCAUAUACAUUGCAUAUGUACACUGGUAAGACUUGAACAACAUUCAGCAGUUUUACAAAUGGUGUCAUAGAAAACAAAACAGAAAAUAUUAAAUGCACUGGUGCCGUGAAACCUAUACGAGGUCAUUAGCAGUGAAAGUGCAUGAAAUGGAGCACAAACAGCAUCACACUGAGGUGAAACUGUUUAGUAGGAUUUAUCCAUCAGUGUCCACCGCAUUCAUCUUUGUGUCUGACCCUGCAAAAGUUUCAUAUGUGAUAU